GAUGAACGCUGGCGGCGUGCUUAACACAUGCAAGUCGAACGGUGAACACGGAGCUUGCUCUGUUGGAUCAGUGGCGAACGGGUGAGUAACACGUGAGCAACCUGCCCCUGACUCUGGGAUAAGCGCUGGAAACGGCGUCUAAUACUGGAUAUGUGACGUGACCGCAUGGUCUGCGUUUGGAAAGAUUUUUCGGUUGGGGAUGGGCUCGCGGCCUAUCAGCUUGUUGGUGAGGUAAUGGCUCACCAAGGCGUCGACGGGUAGCCGGCCGGAGAGGGUGACCGGCCACACUGGGACUGAGACACGGCCCAGACUCCUACGGGAGGCAGCAGUGGGGAAUAUUGCACAAUGGGCGCAAGCCUGAUGCAGCAACGCCGCGUGAGGGAUGACGGCCUUCGGGUUGUAAACCUCUUUUAGCAGGGAAGAAGCGAAAGUGACGGUACCUGCAGAAAAAGCGCCGGCUAACUACGUG
rnacentral:rRNA from 1 species